AGAGUUUGAUCCUGGCUCAGAUUGAACGCUGGCGGCAUGCCUUACACAUGCAAGUCGAACGGCAGCACGGGGGCAACCCUGGUGGCGAGUGGCGAACGGGUGAGUAAUACAUCGGAACGUGUCCUGGAGUGGGGGAUAGCCCGGCGAAAGCCGGAUUAAUACCGCAUACGCUCUAAGGAGGAAAGGGGGGGAUCUUCGGACCUCCCGCUCAAGGGGCGGCCGAUGGCAGAUUAGCUAGUUGGUGGGGUAAAGGCCUACCAAGGCGACGAUCUGUAGCUGGUCUGAGAGGACGACCAGCCACACUGGGACUGAGACACGGCCCAGACUCCUACGGGAGGCAGCAGUGGGGGAUUUUGGACAAUGGGGGAAACCCUGAUCCAGCAAUGCCGCGUGUGUGAAGAAGGCCUUCGGGUUGUAAAGCACUUUUGUCCGGAAAGAAAACCUCUGCCCUAAUACGGCGGGGGGAUGACGGUACCGGAAGAAUAAGCACCGGCUAACUACGUGCCAGCAGCCGCGGUAAUACGUAGGGUGCAAGCGUUAAUCGGAAUUACUGGGCGUAAAGCGUGCGCAGGCGGUCCGCUAAGACAGAUGUGAAAUCCCCGGGCUUAACCUGGGAACUGCAUUUGUGACUGGCGGGCUAGAGUAUGGCAGAGGGGGGUAGAAUUCCACGUGUAGCAGUGAAAUGCGUAGAGAUGUGGAGGAAUACCGAUGGCGAAGGCAGCCCCCUGGGCCAAUACUGACGCUCAUGCACGAAAGCGUGGGGCGCAAACAGGAUUAGAUACCCUGGUAGUCC
rnacentral:rRNA from 1 species